GGAUCCAGACUUUUGAUCAUUGGCUCAGGACGAACGCUGGCGGCGCGCCUAACACAUUGCAAGUCGAACGAGCGAGAGAGAGCUUUGCUUUCUCAAGCGAGUGGCGAACGGGUGAGUAACGCGUGAGGAACCUGCCUCAAAGAGGGGGACAACAGUUGGAAACGACUGCUAAUACCGCAUAAGCCCACGGCUCGGCAUCGAGCAGAGGGAAAAGGAGCAAUCCGCUUUGAGAUGGCCUCGCGUCCGAUUAGCUAGUUGGUGAGGUAAUGGCCCACCAAGGCGACGAUCGGUAGCCGGACUGAGAGGUUGAACGGCCACAUUGGGACUGAGACACGGCCCAGACUCCUACGGGAGGCAGCAGUGGGGAAUAUUGCACAAUGGGGGAAACCCUGGUGCAGCGACGCCGCGUGGAGGAAGAAGGUCUUCGGAUUGUAAACUCCUGUUGUUGAGGAAGAUAAUGACGGUACUCAACAAGGAAGUGACGGCUAACUACGUGCCAGCAGCCGCGGUAAAACGUAGGUCACAAGCGUUGUCCGGAAUUACUGGGUGUAAAGGGAGCGCAGGCGGGAAGACAAGUUGGAAGUGAAAUCCAUGGGCUCAACCCAUGAACUGCUUUCAAAACUGUUUUUCUUGAGUAGUGCAGAGGUAGGCGGAAUUCCCGGUGCAGCGGUGGAAUGCGUAGAUAUCGGGAGGAACACCAGUGGCGAAGGCGGCCUACUGGGCACCAACUGACGCUGAGGCUCGAAAGUGUGGGUAGCAAACGGGAUUAGAUACCCUGGUAGUCCACACUGUAAACGAUGAUUACUAGGUGUUGGAGGAUUGACCCCUUCAGUGCCGCAAGUUAACACAAAUAAGUAAUCCACCUGGGGAGUACGACCGCAAGGUUGCAACUCAAAGGAAUUGACGGA
rnacentral:rRNA from 1 species